rnacentral:lncRNA from 1 species
AAGAGUAUAGGAGGCGCCCACCUCAUUAUCUCUCGAAAGUUCGAAUGAUUGGCGCACGCCACAUUGCUUGAAUUCUUGUCACCCGAUUAAAACUUUAAACGUAUAAAUUCAAAUUACUAGUUCAAACCAAUAAAUUAUUUUUUUGCAAAUUAAACUUCGGAUGAAGAAGCAUGGGAGGCGUUCGCCUCACCAUCUCUCGAAUAAUUGAACGAUUGGCGCUUUCCAUAUUGCUCAAAUUGUCGACUUCCAAUUAAAAUCUCAACCAUACAAAUUCAA